GGUAAGGGUGGGGGGGCAAGUCUCGGUUUCUUUCCUCUGGAAGUCCCUUCUCCUUUCCUAUCUCAAGAGAAAAAGAGAGGGGAAAGAACACCCCCUUGCUAUUGCUAGCAGAUGUCAGGAAACACCUUUCAUCCAGCCCCUCAGUUCCCAAAUGUUUUCCCUCUCCUCCGGGGACUUUGAGUUGCAGCUCUAGUGGGUCCCUUUGCGCUCGCGUGUUCUGGGCACCAGCAGUCCGCCUCCAGGUGUUGGGCUUUGGGAUAGUUGUACCAUGAUGUGAAGAGUACUGCUUGGACUAUAACAGUUCAAGUCCCGGUUCUUCCUUUCCUUGCUGCUUUUAUGAACUUGGGCAAGCCUCUUCACCUUACCAAAUCUCCUCUUGAAGCAGAGAUCAUAAAGGCAACCCUACAGGGUAGUCAUGAGGUUUUAAUGCAUGCAAAAGUGCUUUGAGAAAUGUAAAGUUCUAUGCAUGUGAGUGAGCCCCUUGGA
rnacentral:lncRNA from 1 species